rnacentral:sRNA from 1 species
AGAUCCAGUUGUGGUUCUAAUUCUUAUACUCAAUCAUACACAUGAAAUCUAGUCAUAUUUGACUCCAAAACACUAACCAAGCUUCUUCUUACUUUUCAAAGCUUUGCUGGUUUAGCCGAAUUCCGUAUGAGUCUUUGGCUUUGUAUCUUCGAACAAGGAAACACUCCUUAGGCUAUUAAGAUCAGUUGCGGUUCUAGUUCUUAUACUCAAUCAUACACAUGACAUCUAGUCAUAUUUGACUCCAAAUCACUAAUCAAGCUUCUUCUUACUUCUCAAAACUUUGAUGGUGUUGUCAAAAUCUGUAUGAGACUUUAGAUUUGUUUCUUCUAACAAGGAAACACUACAUAGGCUUUCAAAUCCGGUUGUGGUUCUAGUUCUUAUACUGAAUCAUACACAUGACAUCUAGUCAUAUUUGACUCCAAAUAACUAACCAAGCUUCUUCUUGCUUCUCGAGGCUUUGAUGGUGAAGCUGAAGUCCGUAUGAGUCUUUGCCUUUGUAUCUUUGAUAUAGGUCAAAUUGCCUUAAGCCCACUCUCUCAAAUAAGAGAACGAUUGCAGCACUUAAGGGUCGAAUUCCACAAAGCUCUCGGAUCACAUAAUAGACCAAGGUUUUGAAUCUACAUAUACAUUUUUGGUAGGGUUUUUGGCAAAAAAUCCCUCACAUAUUUACUAUUUUCAAUAUGAGUCCUUACUAAUUUAAUCUCAAUCAAAUACUUUAUAACUAAAAACUUACAAUUAGUUUAAUUGCAUUAAUUAGUUGAAUUAACUCUUUCCUAAAUUUUUAU